UACGGGGGGGGCAAGCGUUGUUCGGAAUUACUGGGCGUAAAGGGCUCGUAGGCUGCCAACUAAGUCGGACGUGAAAUCCCUCGGCUUAACCGGGGAACUGCGUCUGAUACUGGAUGGCUUGAGUUUGGGAGAGGGAAGUGGAAUUCCCGGUGUAGUGGUGAAAUGCGUAGAUAUCGGGAGGAACACCAGUGGCGAAGGCGACUUCCUGGCCUGUUCUUGACGCUGAGGCGCGAAAGCUAGGGUAGCAAACGGG
rnacentral:rRNA from 1 species